CACGCCGUAAACGAUGAUCACUCGCUGUUAGCGAUACACAGUUAGCGGCUAAGCAAAAGCAUUAAGUGAUCCACCUGGGGAGUACGGCCGCAAGGCUGAAACUCAAAGGAAUUGACGGGGGCCCGCACAAGCGGAGGAACAUGUGGUUUAAUUCGAUGAUACGCGAGGAACCUUACCUGGGCUUAAAUGUAGAGUGCAUGAGGUAGAAAUACUUCUUUCCUUCGGGACUUUCUGCAAGGUGC
rnacentral:rRNA from 1 species